UACGUAGGGUGCAAGCGUUAAUCGGAAUUACUGGGCGUAAAGCGUGCGCAGGCGGUUUUGUAAGUCUGUCGUGAAAUCCCCGGGCUCAACCUGGGAAUUGCGAUGGAGACUGCAAGGCUAGAAUCUGGCAGAGGGGGGUAGAAUUCCACGUGUAGCAGUGAAAUGCGUAGAGAUGUGGAGGAACACCGAUGGCGAAGGCAGCCCCCUGGGUCAAGAUUGACGCUCAUGCACGAAAGCGUGGGGAGCAAACA
rnacentral:rRNA from 1 species